UAAGACGUAGGAGGCGAGUGUUAUCCGGAUUUACUGGGCGUAAAGAGGGCGUAGGCGGCUUUUCAAGUCGGAUGUAAAAUCUCCUGGCUUAACUAGGAGGGGUCAUUCGAUGCUGUUAGGCUAGAGGGCAGCAGAGGGAGGUGGAAUUCCCGGUGUAGUGGUGAAAUGCGUAGAUAUCGGGAGGAACACCAGUGGCUAAAGCGGCCUCCUAGGCUGUUUCUGACGCUGAGGCCCGAAGGCGUGGGGAGCGAACAGGAUUAGAUACUCUGGUAGUCCACGCUGUAAACGAUGGAUACUAGGUAUGGGGGGUAUUGACCCCCUCCGUGCCGAAGCUAACGCGUUAAGUAUCCCGCCUGGGGACUACGGCCGCAAGGCUA
rnacentral:rRNA from 1 species